GACGAACGCUGGCGGCGUGCUUAACACAUGCAAGUCGAACGGAAAGGCCCUGCUUUUGUGGGGUGCUCGAGUGGCGAACGGGUGAGUAACACGUGAGUACCCUGCCCUUGACUUGGGGAUAACUCCAGGAAACGGGGGCUAAUACCGGAUAGGAGCUCCUGCUGCAUGGUGGGGGUUGGAAAGUUUCGGCGGUUGGGGAUGGACUCGCGGCUUAUCAGCUUGUUGGUGGGGUAGUGGCUUACCAAGGCUUUGACGGGUAGCCGGCCUGAGAGGGUGACCGGCCACAUUGGGACUGAGAUACGGCCCAGACUCCUACGGGAGGCAGCAGUGGGGAAUAUUGCACAAUGGGCGGAAGCCUGAUGCAGCAACGCCGCGUGCGGGAUGACGGCCUUCGGGUUGUAAACCGCUUUCGCCUGUGACGAAGCGUGAGUGACGGUAAUGGGUAAAGAAGCACCGGCUAACUACGUG
rnacentral:rRNA from 1 species